UACCUGGCAUGUGGUCCCCGGCCCCCCAAUUUAAGUCACCUCCUGCUCUAGUCGGCUGGGUCCAGCGAGCCCCAGAGCGCCUGGCCAGGCAGCCUAGCGCCAGGCCUGGGUGUGGGGACUGCUGGCAGCCCGCUUUCCUGAGGCGGACGGAGUGGCCCCAACGGACAGCUGUAGAGCGUGACGCGGUAAGUUGCUCAGGUCCGAGCAGCCUGGCAGAGGACGCCUCCCGAGCGUCGCUAGCUCGCGUAGCAGCGGGGAUGCCGAAGGUCCUCUUCGAGACGCCCAGGGACAGGUUUGUGGCUGACAGCCUGAGCCCCGAGUCCCGCACGCACCCGCCUUUUCAGGACGCCGAGUCCUGCCGGCGCGUUGCAUCUUGGGAGUUGUAGUCUUCGCGGGCUGAAGGCGGGGCCGCCACUCGUGGUGAGCGGCUAUUGGGUGGCGCUGGCGCGCACGGCCCCCUGCCUUUGCACACCGUUCCCUCCUCUCAACGACGCGUCGCAGAGCCUCGAUGGGCUCUGCCCCGACGUUCGUCAGGGAUUGGAGGGGAGGCGGGACCCAGGGGCUCAGCUGCCCGCGGAUUGGUGGGGUGCAAAGGAGGUGGGCCAGCGCAUGCGCUUAAGCCGGGGUCCGGCCGGGCCGCAGGGGCCAGUGCCAAGAUGUCUACGGCGGCGGUGCCGGAGCUGAAGCGAAUCAGCCGGGUGGAGGCGAUGCGCCUGGGCCCGGGCUGGAGCCACUCGUGCCACGCCAUGCUGUACGCCGCCAACCCCGGGCAGCUCUUCGGCCGCAUCCCCAUGCGGUUCUCGGUGCUGAUGCAGAUGCGCUUCGACGGGCUGCUGGGCUUCCCCGGGGGCUUCGUGGACCGGCGCUUCUGGUCGCUGGAGGACGGACUGAACCGGGUGCUGGGCCUGGGCCUGGGCUCCCUGCGCCUCACCGAGGCCGACUACCUGAGCUCGCACCUGACCGAGGGCCCGCACCGCGUCGUGGCGCACCUGUACGCGCGGCAGCUGACGCUGGAGCAGCUGCACGCCGUGGAGAUCAGCGCGGUGCAUUCGCGCGACCACGGCCUGGAGGUGGGGCCGCCGCCCGGGCCCCGCCCCCCGCCCCGGGGUUUGGCUCUGGCCCCGUGGAAGGCACCGAUGGGUGCUGGGCCUUGUGCGGGUCCCACUGUACACCCAGAAGGACCGAGUCGGCGGCUUUCCCAACUUCCUGAGCAACGCCUUCACCAGCACUGCCAAGUACCAGCUCCUCUUCGCCCUCAAGGUGCUCAACAUGAUGCCCGAGGAGAAGCUGGCUGAGGCUGUGGCUGCAGCCACAGAGAAGCAGAAGAAGGCCCUGGAGAAGCUGCUCCCAGCUUCUUCCUGAGGUGGUUCCUGUGCUAGCUGUCGCCCUCCCCACUGGCAGCCAUCUCUGUGCCCAUCGGCUGAGAAGACUUGGUUUUGGGAGUCCUGUGAAAGUGUGUCUUCUAGCUUGUCUCUGUGUUUGCCUUUCUGACUGCAUGGGGCAGACAGGCAUCUCAUCAUCUCCACUGUCCCAAGCAGUCAUUAGGCGGCAGCUGGGCCAGCUGGGACCCAGCCCAUCCUCUCAGGUUGGUCAGUGGGCAGUCUGGGCACACUGGGCCUGGCUCUUCAGGCUCAGGACAUUCGUGCCCACCGAAAAGCUCAAACUCUCCUUAGCACGCGUCUCACCACAUAGCGCCCCGUCGUCCUAGGGGUAGGUGCCCAGCUCUCAGGCCAUUCGGAAGACGGUUUGCUCUGGUGGAGGCGGCUGUCCAGGCCAGCUCAUCCCUGCAUCCUUCCCGAGCCAGCCCCAGGGUCUGGGGAAGAGCCAGCUUAGGGAUGGUCGGGGCCUCAGGGACCCAGCUACGUAUGGAGUUGUUCAAGGAGAAAAAGACAAUAAAUGAAGCCGCUCUUCAGCUGCUGUUUGGUUUUUGGUUUUAGACAGCAGCCCAGGGCUGGGCUGGUGAGGGGUGUCCUUCCUUUUCCUGGAUGUGGAGGUUGGGCCCAAGAGGGGUUCUGGGACCCCAGGUGCUGGGUACUGCUAGGAGUCGAACCAACUCAGGCCUCCUGUCUCAGAUUCGGGACACAUGGAGUCACUGCCCUGGCCAGAGGUGUCCAUGUGUCCGCCUGUGUUUACUGGGGCACUCCCAGCCUGAGCACCUGGGCUGGCAGCCUGGCUGGGGGCUUCUAUGCUGCGGUGCCAGUGUCAGGCUCUUGUACUAGAUCCUCUACGCUUUGAAAACCUGCCUUUCCUCAUUCUCAGAACAGUCUGCAAGCAGCUCCAGGGGACGGUCUGGAAGCACAGGCUUAGUAUGCAGAA